GGCAGAAAUGGUUAGUUUUAUUUGAUAAACUCACUAAAUUUAUCAAAAAGAGUUCAGUUUCAAAUGCUUCUUGCUUUUUACUUAUUAUGUGUUUAUUUGUCUUAGGCUACAACUUUGUCCCCAGAAAAACUUGAGGAACUCGGUAGAUACAUCUACUGGAUCAAGGCAAGGCAAGACGAAGAUGGGAAAUUCUUAGAUGUUGUACUGGAGGAAGCAGUUGAACGAAUUGUGAGUAUUUAUAAGACAAUAAGUUAAUUAGAAUUUACACCAUGACAAGGAGGCUGAUUUCAUUGUUAUUAGCAGUUUAAUUUAAAUUUCGACUGGUUGGUGUAGGUGAACCUAUAGAAGAUGGAGGCUGAAGGGAAAUUCAAGUCGCAAGGGACCAAGGAUGUGUUAACUGAAGCAUUGGGUAAUCCGGAGCAUAGAGGUAGGGUUAGAGGGAUUGGUGGAAAUGUGAAGCCUGAGACUUAUUGCGACUUGACAAGGCGACAAAGGGGGAGGAAGAAGGUGUCGGAGGAGGAGAGAAAGAGUCUAUUUGCUAAAGAAUAAGCAAAGUGGGAGGAGGAAAUGAAGAAAAAAAGGCUUAGUGUCACACCCUGGUCUCAGCGUCGGCGGGUUUUAAUCAUUGGACGCUAAUUCCGAGGUGUGAACGAAUGUUAUAAAGCGGAAUAAAACAAAAGCAUUAUCUUCUAGGCUCGUCGGCUACCUUUUCUCGGCUCGAUCAAAUCUAAGUACUUCUCUGCAAAAAAUAUUAAAGAUGGGUGGGUGAGCAUAACCACGCGCUCAGUGAGUAGACUAAUGUAAUAUACCCGUAAAGCCAUGUCAUUUUACACACGCUACAAAAUACGUAUAUCGUAUACAUAUCACAUUAAGCAGUUCAUCACAUCGCACAAUCCCUUCUUAUUGGAUAUCCUUCAAUUUAAUGAUCUCCACAAGAACCUAAUGACCUUCAUGUCCUAUACAUCUGUGUGUCACAUCUUUACUUUAGCAUAACCAAUCAAGAAGUUCACAUGUUCCAUGACUAGUCAAACAAUGGAUCCAACACAUAAUUUUUUAUAAACUCCACAUAUUUCGUAAAUCAACAUGCUUCACUCAAAAACAGAGAGAUAUUUCGUAAAUAGACAAAAUUAUGCUUUUCGACUAUUUUGAUAACAAAUAAGAAUAUUUGAAACAUAUUACACAAAUCCACUCACCACGACAAAACGAAUCCCCACCAAGAACGUCGAUUGUAAACCGAGCCAUCUAAAAAUCACUGUUGGAUCUAGCUCAAACUUCUAGGAUAGGAAGAGGACAUCAAGACGAACCCGUAGCACUUCGCGGAUUCAGAAUCAAAGUUACGGAUCAAAAGUUAUGACCCGUCGAAGUUUAAUCGUAAAUUCUAGGAAGAGAAACUAAUUAAAGAGAGAAAUGAAGAGAGGGAAAAUCUCAUCGAGGAUACUAAAGAAAGCUGAUCAGCUCAGCAUAUAUAUAUACAUAGGUAAGCCGACCUAGAUGGGCGGUUUCAUGCAAUAGAUCAAAGAAAAAGUUGACACUUGUCAACUUCUAAGCUAAACUACACCCAUCAUGUUACACAAGUCAAAAUGACUCAUGGAGAUGAAAGAACACGUUUUGCUGCAGCCUUAGCCAGCAAGUAACAACUUUUGAUCAAUGAGAAGCUGCCACGUCAGCAUCUCAAACCAAUUUCGACGAAAGUUCGACAAAAUUUUGAAAAAUCGUUAAAAAUAGCAUGGGAGUCUGAAAAAUACAGCGAACUCGUGACGACCUCUACUUUCUAUUUCUAAGAAGAAAAUAAUUUUUUUAAGAAAUUUCAAAAAUCGGAAUGUUACAAUCUACCCUCCUAAACAAAAUUUCGUCCCCGAAAUUCACCACACCUCCAAAAACUCGAAAACAAUUAUGGCCUUACGCUAAAACGCUAGAAUCUUAAUCUACCACAGAUCUUGGGGUUCUAAUCCCUAGUUUUCUCUGAUACCAUUCUGUCACACCCUGGUCUCAGCGUCAGAGGGUUUUAAGCAUCGGACGCCGAUUCCGAGACGUGAACUAGUGUUACAAAGCGGAAUAAAACAAAAACAUUAUCUUCUAGGCUCGUCGGCUACCUUUUCUCGGCUCGAUCAAAUCUAAGUACUUCUCUGCCAAAAAUAUUAUAGAUGGGUAGGUGAGCAUAACCACGCACUCAGUGAGUAGACCAAUGUAAUAUACCCGCAAAGCCAUGUCAUUUUACACACGCUACAAAAUACGUAUAUCGUAUACACAUCACAUCAAGCAGUUCAUCACAUCGCACAAUCCCUUCUUAUUGGAUAUCCUUCAAUUUAGUGAUCCCCACGGGAACCUAAUGACCUUCAUUUCCUAUUCCUCCGUGUGUCACAUCUUUACUUCAGCAUAACCAAUCAAGAAGUUCACAUGUUCCAUGACUAGUCAAACAAUGGAUCCAACACAUAAUUAUAUAUAAACUCCACAUAUUUCGCAAAUCGACAUGCUUCACUCGAAAACAGAGAGAUAUUUCGUAAAUAGACAAAAUCAUGCUUUUCGACUAUUUUGAUAACAAAUAAGAAU
rnacentral:lncRNA from 1 species